rnacentral:rRNA from 1 species
AUUGAACGCUGGCGGCAGGCCUAACACAUGCAAGUCGAGCGAGCGGCGGACGGGUGAGUAAUGUCUGGGAAACUGCCUUAUGGAGGUGGAUAACUACUGGAAACGGUAGCUAAUACCGCAUAUCAUCAUAUCUGCCCAGAUGGGAUUAGCUAGUAGGUGGGGUAACGGCUCACCUAGGCUACGAUCCCAAGCUGGUCUGAGAGGCUGACCAGCCACACUGGAACUGAGACACGGUCCAGACUCCUACGGGAGGCAGCAGUGGGGAAUAUUGCACAAUGGGCGAAAGCCUGAUGCAGCCAUGCCGCGUGUGUGAAGAAGGCCUUCGGGUUGUAAAGCACUGUCAGCGGGGAGGCGUUACCCGCAGAAGAAGCACCGGCUAACUCCGUGCCAGCAGCCGCGGUAAUUC